rnacentral:rRNA from 1 species
UACGUAGGGUGCGAGCGUUAAUCGGAAUUGCUGGGCGUAAAGCGUGCGCAGGCGGUUCGCUGUGUCCUGUGUGAAAGCCCCGGGCUUAACCUGGGAAUGGCAUGGGAAACUGGCGGGCUGGAGUGUGGCAGAGGGGGGUGGAAUUCCGCGUGUAGCAGUGAAAUGCGUAGAGAUGCGGAGGAACACCGAUGGCGAAGGCAGCCCCCUGGGCUAACACUGACGCUCAGGCACGAAAGCGUGGGGAGCAAACAGG